AGGUGGUAAAUCCUGGCCAAGGCUCCUCGAGCCAGGCCGGCUGGCAGUGCUGCAUCGUGCUGAAGGCGCUGAGGUUGCAGCGGAUGCAUUCCGGGCCAGUGAUAUGAUGUGGACAGGAAAAGUCUUUUGUUCUGGGAAAAUGGAGGACUGAAACCUCUUCAUGUCUUUUUCCCAGGCCCUGAUUUAGGAAGACCAAAACAGGGACUUCUACAGUAGCAGCUUAAUCAGCAGAUGCUGGGUGGUCGCCUCUGCACAUGGCCUGGGGGGCGGGGCGCCUUACCGCGUCACACUGGGUGGAUGGGCCUGUGUGUGGCCUCUCUCCAGCUGUGGCUGACAGUACUCACUCAGCCCAGGCUUCCAGGCCCUCCUGGGCCCUCCUAUCCACUGAAGGAAAUGGGAGAUGAGUGGGUAAUGGAAAAGCCUUUGGAGUCAGAUGUAAAUCCAUGACUUGACCACUUAUUGCUGUGAGACCCUGGACAGCUGGAUAUAGAGUUCUUGUUCUAGCAUCCGCCCUGGGAAUCCCCGGAACUGGGCCUCUUACCGACACCAUUGCCUGUAAUCCACAAACCUAGGAGUUACUCCAGUUACUGUCCUACUGAAGGACCCCCAUCCCAUCUGGGCUACUAUAACCACAUGGACCAUCCCUUGCUUCAAUCAUAGAAUUCUUUCUUCAGAUCAAAGUAUAUUCAGACACUCGAUACAGUAACAAAAGCAAGCUAUCCUGGAAGGAAGAAGGAAUCAGGAGGCAGAGCACAUGGUUAAAGCAUGAGAUGUGAAACCAGGAAGAACCAGGUCUGAACCUUAGCUCCACCAGUGGUAGCUUCAAACCUUGGUCCUUUCUGAGCCUGCUUCUUCAACCGUAAGAGCAAGGCCAAAAGCAGCUUCAAUUAUGGUACAACUGUGUGAAGACACAAUGCAAAACCACUCAAGAAUGCUCACUCAAAUGGAUUUUUACCAUGGAACUCGGAAACGGGACCCAGAAAGUUGUUUUCUCAAGUGGAUGGAACAACACAAGCAAUCAGUAUCCUGAAACAGGCCCUGUUCCAACAAACUGACCCAGAAAGCAAGUAUGAGGACUCCUGUUUCCCUACGUACUCACUACUACAGCAAAGAUAUCAAACAUUGAUACCCACCAAUCUCUGGAUGGAAAAACAAAUCUCAGGAAUCGCUUGCAGGAGGCUCUGCACGUUCCUCAGAUUCAGAGUCGCUGUCCUUUUGCCUGUGAAGCUCCUCACUUUCAGAGUCACUAGCAUUAAGAUUUAAGGGCUCAUCGUUCUCAGAGUCUGUCACAUGAUGUCCUUUGGGGAGGCCAUCUUCUCGAUCACUAGUUUCAUUCUGAAAAAUAAAGUGAGAAAAAAUUAGGAAAGUGCAAAAAAAAAAAAACCAUUAAU
rnacentral:lncRNA from 1 species